ACCCUUAUUUAAAGUCUUUGAGUUCAGCCUCUUUUAGCCGUCUCUCAGAACAGAGUUGUAAUUCUCUGAUUUCGAAUGUGUAACAUUUUCUAUUUCUCUUCGUUUUCUACUUCCGCAAUGCAUUGCUAUGAUUCCGAUUAUGCCAUAAAUUUUCUGUGUUGAAUCCCUCUAUAGCAUUGUUUGAUUCCAAAGGAAUUCGAUUGGAUUGUGCAUUUUUAGUUUUUUUAAGUUGUUUUUUCCAUUGUUGAUCCACUGCAUCUGUUUUACCCUCUCCUUUUUGUAUCCAAUUCCAAUGGCGAUGGAGAUAUAACUGAUGCACAGAUUUUAAAGGUUGGCUUACCAGCCCAUUGCACAUAUUUUGAAAUUGCCAUGGGUCAAAUGGACCUACCGAAAUGCCCUAGAUGAAAACAAAACACGAUUUUUUUAUGCAUUUAUGUGUUUUUUGUAUCUGCAAAAAGAGAUUUGGCAGUGACGAUUCAAAUUUUAAACCGCUUAUUGAUAUACUGAUAAGCUGUGAUGACAACAUUUUUUAAAUCUGAUGCCAUUAAGCUUGUAUUUUAGAUUUUCGUUUUGUUUUUGUAGCGUCUCUUUCCCUGAUUUUUCAGUGAAUCUAAUAUUGUGACCAAGGGUUGGCAAGUGAUGCUAAAAUUUCUUAUCCUACACACUGAAUUACUCUGUGAAGAUCAAAAACUCCGCUUAUUAUCUGAUGCCUUCCUUGUCAUAGACGGGCGGACUGAACUGAUGCCAUGUUGAUUGUCUGCCACUUCCACAUUUGGAAUUUCUCUGAGAUUAAGUUUCGUGUUGUUUUUAUUUUAAUUCAUUAUGCGAUUGAUUGUGUUGUUUAAUGUUUUUAUUAUUAUUUUUUGCUGGGAAUUAGUGUUUGAUUUUGUUAAAGAACAAUCUUUCUGCUAUGAUGAGGUUGCAUAAAUAUGUCUGGACAUAUGAGAAUUCUGUGAUAUAAUAAUUGCUUCUUCUGAGCAGAGGUAUUAGCCAUGAAGUCUGGAUUUCAAAAUAGAUUAGAUCCCUAAUUUUUCAUCUCUGGUUUUCAAAAUAGAUUAAAACCCUAAUUUUUCAGGCGUAAUAGGAACUUAUUUUUUCAUUUAUAUGUUCAAUAUGAAUAAGCCAAUUGGUGAAAUAAAUGCAUACACUUAAAAAUUUGGUAGUUUUUAAAUUUUGACCUACUUCACAAUCAUACCUCCCACUUUUGAACAUUUAGAACAAAAACUUAUAUCUACCUCAUCUCGAUUUGAAAGUUGUCGAAAUGUCUUGGCUCAUGAAAGAUUAAAUAAUGUAAUUAUGGCAAUAUAACUUAUUUUGUUUUUAUCAAGCUCAUUUUGAUUUAGUUGACCUAAUUGAAUCAUAAAUUUACUUUACCUAUAAAAUAACCAUUUUAAUUUAAAAUUACAAAUAUUUUACGAAAUAUAUAACGUUAUGAUUUAUAUUUAUAUAUGCAAGAUUCGUCUUGUCGUGAAUAUUUAUUUUAAAGGUUAAAAUACUUCGAUGAUCUUCGUUUUGGUUCAAAAAUCUUAAAUUGGUUCUCGAAUUUUAAUUGAUUUCAAUUUCGUCCUCAUUUUUGUAAAUGUGUUUUAAAUUACCCUUUUCCGUUAUCAGUUCACAGAUGACGUUUAUUCCUGAUGAUGUGGCUGUUUUGUGUAUUCUGAUGUGUCAUUCACUUGAUUUGGCACAUAUGUUCUUAGUUUCUCUUUUAAAAAGAGAUUAUUUUCAUAACAUUUGAAUGUUAGGGUUUGAAAAGGGUGAGGUGAAGCUGUCUCUUGCGUUCUCAAUUGGUAAGAUUGGUAAUGUCUCUCUCUCAUUCUUGCUCAUCCUGCACUUGCAAUGCUUGGGAGAUGAAAAAUUCCAGUUUUUCUUCUCAUGGAGGUGCAGUGAGAAGGUCCGAUUUAACACCUGUUUGUUAUUGCGGUGAGAAGGCAAUCACAAGAACUGCUAGAACGGCUAAGAACAGGGGGAGAAAAUUUUGGGGGGACAAGCAACAUUUAAUCACAAAAUAAAAGCCAUACAACAUCAUUCCCAACCAACAAAACCCUAAAUAGCCAAGGAUGAACUGAUACUCACCUUCACGGUGUGGCGCUCAAGAACGACUACGAUCAACGACACUAAAGCUCGAAAAUCGAAUACUGAAAUGUUCGAGCUCACCUUCGACGACGCUGAAUCUCACCUUCGUCGACGUUCACGGCAUUGACUCGAGUCGCCCUCGCAGUCACGAUUCUUCAACACUCAGUUUCAAUCCUAAUUCAGUAAUUUAGGGUUUCCAUACAAAUGCUUAUUUUAAUGAAUAACGCCACGUACAAAUUUUUCAAUCCUCAAAUUAAUGAAUCAAGCCACGUCAGAUAAUUAAAAUGAAGUUAACGUUAACCAUUUUGACACUGUUAACGAUUGGGUUAAUUUAAAACACAUUUAUCAAAAUGAGGACAAAAUUGAAAUCAAUUAAAAUUCGAAAACGAGGACUAUCGGAGUAUUUUAACCUUAUUUUAAAACACCAAUACAUCGUGAUGAUGACUAAUUAUGCAAUUAAAUGACAUUCUCAUCUGAUAAAAGAAUUAGAAAGGGUUAUAAUAUAGAUGAUGUCUUAUGUUUUGCACAUAAUGUCAAUUUAAAAAAAUGUAUACAUUAAAAGCAAUUUUUAUUUUUUAGCAGUGAUACAACUUCUAUCAUUCUCAAUAAUCUUUUACAUAUAACAUAAUUCACUAAAACAAAAUUUCAAAUCUAUUAUAAAUUUCACUUGAUAUUUUUUUUACAUUUAUAAUUAGCAUUCAAAUACAAUCCAUUAAAAAGGCAAGAAGAGAAAAAACAGAAAUCUAAAGAGUGAAAAUAUUUUGGCUUCAACAAAAAUAUGUUCACUUAAAUAAAAUUGAGUGAAAAUAUACUAACUCUCGGUGUUAAGUUUGGGUGAGCAAAAAUCCUUUCUUUCAACGAAAAUAUGUUGUUUUUUAUAAUGUCCCGGGAUUCUGUGUUUAGUAUAAAUGUAAGUGAAGCCUAAAACUCUUGUAAAUCAAUUAAUCUAACUAUUUUGAGUAUUAGCAUAAUUGUUUAGGACAACUUUGAAGCAUGGAAAGAUUUUUCAUAAUCCAAUAAUUGAUCAGCUUACUUUUUUUAAUUGAUUAAGUUAUUCACUAGAGCCAUUGGAUGUAAAAUAUGAACUCGAUAAUUGAUUAGAUUAUUUUUCUAAGCAAUUAAUCUUAGUAGUAUUUCCUUUUUAAGCCAACAUUGAUUCAUAUUUUGAAAGAUGAUAUUUUUGCAAUCAGAGGCAAUUGAGUAUUGAGAUAGAAGAGUUCUUAUGUUCUUGGAGAUCACAGUAUUGGGUUUUUAAAAAUUCGUCAAGAAAUUUUUAAGAUGAAUAUGAUUUUGAGAGCUUUGACUUGGCACUAGGGAUUAAUUGUAAUUCCUGCACAUAAAGGUGUAUUUGUUCCUUCUAUUUUUUUGCAAAUUUCAUUUUUUUGUAUUACUUUCAUUGUGUAGGUGAAUAAUUGAUUGCAAUUGUGUAAGUGGGGAUAGUUCUUGACAAGUAUAUCGAGUUCUUGGUUCAUUAGAGUAUAAAAUUAUUUAAAUGUGCUUGUAAUUAACUCUUUGAAAUAAUGGAAAUCUUCUAAGCUGAGGUUGCUUAGAAGAAAACUCGAUGUAGAUUUUAAUUUGAA